UUAAUUAUAUUUAAAAAAACAAAAGUACAACAAUUGUAAUUGGUAAAAAAAAAAAAAAAAUUAUAAUGUCCUUUAUUUGCUUCCGAUCCGAUAAGCGACUUCUUAUGGAUCGUCUUGAAAUUAGGUAAAGGAACUUGACCCUAACCGCAACCUGUCGGUAGAACCAAAAUUAUCAAGAUAAAUAAGAACUUCGACCCUAACCGCGACCUGCCGGUAGAACCAAAGUUAUCAAGUAAAAAAGGAACUUGACCCUAACCGCGACCUGCCGGUAGAACCAAAGUUAUCAAGAUAAAGAGGAACUUGACCCUAACCGCGACCUAUCGGUAGAACCAGAGUUAUCAAUAAAAAGAGAAACUCGACCCUAACCGCGACCUGCCAGUAGAACUAAAGUUAUCAAGAUAAAGAGGAACUUGACCCUAACCGCGACUGCCGGUAGAACCAAAGUUAUCAAGAAAGUGCGACCCUAACCUUGACCUGCCGAUAGAACCAACACUAUAAAGUUCUUAUCUCAAGAACAAUGUUCUUAUCACAAGAACAAAUAAAAAUUUAUCACAAGAGAAACUCUCAAAUUUGAUUAUAUUUCAAGUUGUUUUGAAAAGUACAUGAAAGCCCUAUUUAUAGCUUAUCCUUGUAUAGUAGGGUUUAUUGUCCACUAUCAUACAUUCAUCAUAGAACUUAGAAAAUUUCCAUUAUCAUGCUUAUAAAUUCUCAGUAGCUACUAUAAUGACUUAGUGCACCACUAGGAAGCAUCUAGAGAGCCUAUGGAGCAACUAAAAGUCAUCUAAAAAUCCACCCAAUACAAAAAAC
rnacentral:lncRNA from 1 species